CCUACAUAGAACAAACCAACAUAGAACAAACCAACAUAGAACAAACCUACAUAGAACAAACCUACAUAGAACAAACCUACAUAGAACAAACCUACAUAGAACAAACCAACAUUUUCGGGACAAAAAAAGAGCCUGAACUCUUCUUCUGCAUGGAAUAAAAACAGCUAAAUGCUAAUUUGUUAUUUUUUUGGGGGGGGGGGAAACCAGAAGCCUUCUUUUUGGAGAUAUUAUGCAUCUCUGAAAACAUGAUGUAUGUUUCUAUGUGUGUGUUUGUAUGUGAGGGAGAAGGAUAGAAGGAGAGAGGGAGAGAGAGCAUCAGUGUGUGAAGUCAUCACGAGGAGAGGAAGAGAGAGAAACCGCGUCCCUCGGUGAGGUUAUUCGCUGUAGCAAUUUGAGAGAAAAGGAGAAACUCCUCACAUUGAAGGGAUGAGUGGAAGGACUGUAGGGUCCAGGGGCUACACCUUAACCACCUGAAAUAGCAUCCUCUCCUUGUCUCCUUUCUAAAAGGAAGCCAGAAUCGUCUACACCUUAACCAUCUAAAAUAGCAUCCUCUCCUUGUCUCCUUUCUAAAAGGAAGCCAGAAUCGUCUACACCUUAACCAUCUAAAAUAGCAUCCUCUCCUUGUCUCCUUUCUAAAAGGAAGCCAGAAUCGUCUACACCUUAACCAUCUAAAAUAGCAUCCUCUCCUUGUCUCCUUUCUAAAAGGAAGCCAGAAUCGUCUACACCUUAAAAGUCUAAAGAAAGAUCACUCACCAUAUAAUCAGUGAGUUUAACUUCAGUUACACACUAACCAACUCUCAGGUAAGACUUGACACAAUGUGUACAGUACGUCGUUUGUAAAGCAAGCGGCUGGGUUUCUACAUGAAAACAAAACCAUUCAUUCUCCCUUAGAAUUAGAAUUGAGUUCUAAUUCAAUCCCUUAGAAUUCGAUUUAGAAUUGAGUUCUAAUUCAAUCCCUUAGAAUUCGAUUUAGAAUUGAGUUCUAAUUCAAACCCUUAGAAAUCGAUUUAGAAUUGAGUUCUAAUUCAAUCCCCCAGAAUGUGAGUUAGAAUUGAGUUGUAGUUCUAUGGUUCCCCUCUCUCUCUCUCUCUCUCCACUCUUCUCUAUGGUGUCACUGACCUUCUCAAACCUUCCUCCCUCUAACCUCGUCUCCCAACCGGCUGUCUCUGAAGCUCUGUGAUUGGUGGACUGGACUCAGCGGUGCGCUGAUGUGACAAUGAACGGAAGUUCUGUUUGGGUUCUAGAUCCAGAACGUUGGGUUCCAAUCCGGAAUGCUCGAAGGGGAUUUUCUAGCUCACCUUGAGCCACUGACAUAUAGUACAUACUAUGUAGUAACCAUGACCACACUGUCCCUGGAUGUACGGAAAUCAUGGAGCUGGAUUCCAACCCACAGGGUCUGGAUUCAGGAGCUGAGUUAGCCCUAACGGACCAGGAGAACUUUGCUACAAGAGACUCUGAAAACAAUGAUUUGUGUUUAUUACAAGACAGAUCUUUUGUUCCCGGGAAGUCAAACUGCUGUUUUAAUGCAGAGUCUCGUACAGACAUCCUACCCUACUACCACACUACUCUACCUUUCCUUACCCGGCCGAACACGGACCUAUAGGAACAUGAAUCUGUGUCUGCGUACGGUAUGGCACCCUAGUCCCUAUAGAAGACAUAUAGGGGGUCAGUCGUCAAAAGUCGGCUAAAGUCGUGAAGUGUGCAGGGAUUCGGGUGGCAUGUGGGAGGCUGGCACGGUGUGGGAGUAUGUCUGUUUUAUAUACUGCACGUUUAAAGACAAUUUAAAUCACUUCUUCUUAGCCCUGUUAUGUGGGCCUGGAGAGAUAGAGGACAGGGUGAUAACAGGCCUGGAGAGAUAGAGGACAGGGUGAUAACAGGCCUGGAGAAAUAGAGGACAGGGUGAUAACAGGCCUGCAGAGAUAGAGGACAGGGUGAUAACAGGCCUGGAGAGAUAGAGGACAGGGUGAUAACAGGCCUGGAGAGAUAGAGGACAGGGUGAUAACAGGCCUGGAGAGAUAGAGGACAGGGUGAUAACAGGCCUGGAGAGAUAGAGGACAGGGUGAUAACAGGCCUGGAGAGAUAGAGGACAGGGUGAUAACAGACCUGGAGAGAGAGAGAGAGGACAGGGUGAUAACAGGCCUGGAGAGAUAGAGAGAGGACAGGGUGACAACAGGCCUGGAGAGAUAGAGGACAGGGUGAUAACAGGCCUGGAGAGAGAGAGAGAGGACAGGGUGAUAACAGGCCUGGAGAGAGAGAGGACAGGGGGAUAACAGACCUGAGAGAGAGAGAGAGAGAGAGAGAGGACAGGGUGAUAACAGACCUGAAGAGAGAGAGAGAGGACAGGGUGAUAACAGACCUGGAGAGAAAGGACAGGGUGAUAACAGACCUGGAGAGAGAGAGAGAGGACAGGGUGAUAACAAGGUUAAUGUCGUCUUAAAGAGAUAUUUGCAUUCACCUGUUUAGGACUUUAUUUUUGAAAGGUGACACCUCCUGUGCAUCCUAAAUGGUACCCUAUAUUGUGCACUACUUAUGACCAGAGUCUGUGGCCCAAGUAGUGCACUAUAUAGGGAAUAGGGUGCCUUUUGAAAUCCUGAUUGGUCGAUUACCUAAUAGCCAUCUAUAGAACUGUAAGAACUACCCCGUAGAACCGAGGAACCCGUAGAACACGCAGAACAGAGAACAAUGUUAAUAACAGAUAAAAAGGCAUGUUUUACCUGUUUCAAUUUUGCAUUAAAAAAACAACUAAAAAAACUAAAAACAUUAUUUUUCCUCUUGAUUUUCUCCUUUUUUUAAAAUUGAUCUGUUGCUGCUCUAUUAUUAACUGGGAUUCAUUCAUUAUUCAACUUAAUGCAUUUUCUAAUGAUUACGAGGACGAGGUGUGCUUCCCGACAUGGUACCCUAUUCCUUAUAUCGUGGACUAUAGAGGGCCCUGGUCAA
ensembl:lncRNA